rnacentral:rRNA from 1 species
AUUGAACGCUGGCGGCAGGCUUAACACGUGCAAGUCGAGCGGAGUGAUGGUGCUUGCACUAUCACUUAGCGGCGGACGGGUGAGUAAUGCUUAGGAAUCUGCCAAUUAGUGGGGGACAACAUCUCGAAAGGGAUGCUAAUACCGCAUACGUCCUACGGGAGAAAGCAGGGGAUCACUUGUGACCUUGCGCUAAUAGAUGAGCCUAAGUCGGAUUAGCUAGUUGGUGGGGUAAAGGCCUACCAAGGCGACGAUCUGUAGCGGGUCUAAGAGGAUGAUCCGCCACACUGGGACUGAGACACGGCCCAGACUCCUACGGGAGGCAGCAGUGGGGAAUAUUGGACAAUGGGGGGAACCCUGAUCCAGCCAUGCCGCGUGUGUGAAGAAGGCCUUAUGGUUGUAAAGCACUUUAAGCGAGGAGGAGGCUCUUUUGGUUAAUACCCAAGAUGAGUGGACGUUACUCGCAGAAUAAGCACCGGCUAACUCUGUGCCAGCAGCCGCAGUAA